AGGGACAACCAACCAGAGGGAAGAAGAGUGCGUGAAAGGCUCAUCCGUGCCCACUUUUAGUUCCUGCUGAUGGUGAUGUGCUGGCGUGCCCCUAGCAGUGAAUGCUUUCCUGUAACAUCUUAUGCUCUUUCUGGCCUCCUACUGUGUUAUGGUUGUGGUUCAUGUGUGUCGUACUCUACUUUAUUAUCUUGGUACUUGCCCACAGAGGAUACAGACAUGGACACUGACUGAUUGGCCACGCCUCAAACUCCGUUAUUCAGCCUCUCCAUGUGCAAACUUUUCCUGACCCACUAAAUUGGACUCAACACAACCGACAGAUGUGAUGAACUGAAAGCUGUUUGGCUCAUUUGAACCUGGGUGGAGUGACCUUUCAAUAAAAUAUCAGUAUGGCUUCUUCUGUUUUCUUGCUUGAAAUGACAUUACCCAUGUUACUAUUUUGGACUAGCACCUUGU